rnacentral:rRNA from 1 species
CCAACAGGCAUGCCUCAGUACGGCGAGUGAAGCGGCAAAGCUCAAUUUGAAAUCUAGCACCUUCGGUGUUCGAGUUGUAAUUUGAAGAUGGUAACCUUGGGUUUGGCUCUUGUCUAUGUUCCUUGGAACAGGACGUCAUAGAGGGUGAGAAUCCCGUCUGAUGAGAUGCCCAUUCCUAUGUAAGGUGCUAUCGAAGAGUCGAGUUGUUUGGGAGUGCGGCUCUAAGUGGGUGGUAAAUUCCAUCUAAAGCUAAAUAUUGGCGAGAGACCGAUAGCGAACAAGUACAGUGAUGGAAAGAUGAAAAGAACUUUGAAAAGAGAGUGAAAAAGUACGUGAAAUUGUUGAAAGGGAAGGGCAUUAGAUCAGACUUGGUGUUUUACGAUUAUCUUCUCUUCUUGAGUUGUGCACUCGUAUUUCACUGGGCCAGCAUCGAUUCGGAUGGCAAGAUAAUGGCAGUUGAAUGUGGCUUCACUUCGGUGGAGUGUUAUAGCUUCUGCUGAUAUUGCCUGUCUGGAUCGAGGGCUGCGUCUUUUGACUAGGAUGCUGGCGUAAUGAUCUAAUGCCGCCCGUCUGAAAAACCACGGGACCA